UGCUCUGCACAAAAUGAGCACUCAAUAAAUAGCAUUGAUGAUGACGAUGAUUAUGAAUCAUGGACUAUAAAGAUACUAAAGUUCUAUAUUAUGACUCCAAUAUUACCAUAAAACUAAUUAGCAAUGAUUCUAAGUAUCAUUCGCAAUUAGAUGAAAGAUCAUCUUACCAGGUACAGCUAUUACUUGGAAAGUUCAUUUAUAUUUCUGCCAAAUUUCAUAGGCUUAAGCAUUGUUCUUUAAUUUUUUGAGUAAGAAAAAAACAGGAAAUUAAGUGGAAUGUUUAGCAACUUUAGAAAAUUGUAGCACCCUUAAAGUUCAGGCAAUUUAAAUUAAAGUCAGGUAUACCACCUGAUCCUUCUAAGUGUAAAUUGAAAUAUAUGAGGAGGUACAAUAUCAUUUUGACUAUCAGAGAAUGUUUACAGUGUCAUUGUAGGUCAGAUCAAAUUAAGCAAAGUUUGCAGUGCCAGCAAGAAUUUGGUUGUAUUUUUAAUCUUAUUGUGGAGAUACAGUUCAAUUUAACCAUUUUUUUGCACUUCAAUAGACAUUUUUUUCCAUCUCAUUUUCCUGGAUAAAUUUCAGUCAAAUCUCUUCAAAAUCUUUCAGCAGAUAGCCUGGAGCUAUGCUGGUUCUGGAAGUUCUAAUACCUUGAGCAACAAUUUCAGGUUCAAAAACCAUCUUAUAAAUUGUGUGAACAUUUUUUGUUGAAGAAGAAAAAACUCUUUUGAAAAGUAGGAGUAGCUGUGAGCCAAAAUGAGUUGGUUAAGUUACCAGGCAGUUUCCACUGGAAGACCAAUUGAGCCCUCUCAUCAUGGUGGAGAGCUCUUCAGAAUUUGUAGAACCCGAGGAAUUGGUAUCUGAGUUGAGACCAUUCUCCCUAAAUGACUGCCCAGUUCCUGGAGAGACCACGGAAAGGUUGUUGAAAGAAAUGCCUGUCAUAUAUAUCUGUCCUCUAUGUAAAAUGAUCCUGAGGAAUCCAGCCCAGAUGCCAUGUGGUCACAACUACUGCAUGCCCUGCACUUAGUGGAUAUUAAGAAAUAUAUUAGAUCCCGAGUGCUUAUUGUGCAGAGAGAAAAUCGUCACCGAUGAGGCAAUCUUUAACUGUGGCUCUGUAAGUAAACACUUUUUUGCAUCCUCCGGGAUCCAGCGUUGGAUAGUCACCAGAUCUACAGCAAGCAAGAAAACCAAUGCUGUGGGCCCACUGACCAGGAUCUGCCCAGACAGACUCUGCUUUUUCCACCCUGAUGUAACCACUUGUAAGCACAAGAGAAGCAGCAGGGCCUAGUGGUUAGAACAUGGCUCUGGGAGUCAG